AUUGAACGCUGGCGGAAUGCCUUACACAUGCAAGUCGAACGGCAGCACGGGAGCAAUCCUGGUGGCGAGUGGCACACGGGAGAGUAAAGUCUCGACACGUGCCCAGUCGUGGGGGAUCAUGUAGCGAAAGUUACGCUAAUACCGCAUACGAUCCAUGGAAGAACGAGGGGGAUCGAAAGACCUCGCGCGAUUGGCGCGGCCGAUGGCGGAUUAGGUAGUUGGUGGGGUAAAGGCUCACCAAGCCGACGAUCUGUAGCUGGUCUGAGAGGACGACCAGCAACACUGGGACUGAGACACGGCCCAGACUCCUACGGGAGGCAGCAGUGGGGAAUUUUGGACAAUGGGCGAAAGCCUGAUCCAGCCAUGCCGCGUGCAGGAUGAAGGCCUUCGGGUUGUAAACUGCUUUUGUACGGAACGAAAAGGUUUGGGCUAAUAAGCUGAGCUCAUGACGGUACCGUAAGAAUAAGCACCGGCUAACUACGUGCCAGCCGCCGCGGUAA
rnacentral:rRNA from 1 species